UUAAGUUCUGAUGUCACAGAGAGUCUGAACUGUUUUCAUGCACUCACACUGAAAACUGCAUCAGGAUGAAGUUGCCAAUAACUCUGUUUGUCAUGUUGGGUUUUCUGAGUCAGGAGUCUUCUGCAAACAAUUUUCUGACUCAGACUGACAAAUCCAAGUCUGUAGUCCUGGAGGGACUGUGACCAUCAGCGCCACAGGGAAUUCAGAUAUCGGUGAUGAUCUCAGUUGGUACCUUCAGAAACCUGGACAGGCUCCCAAACUUCUUAUAUACUCUUCAUCAGAACUCUUCUCAGGAACUCCGUCUCGAUUCAGUGGCAGUAGCUCUGGUUCUCACUACACUCUGACCAUCAGUGGUCUUGAGGCUGAAGAUGCUGGAGAUUAUUACUGUCUGGGCUUCCAUGGUAGUGGAGUGUUCACACAGUGAUUUAGAGCCGUACAAAAACCUCUUUCAGUUUGAGUGAAGUGAAAUCGGCCUGCUGCAGGUGCAGAGGGUUGGUGAAGAGACUGUGAAGAGGAAAACUGUUCCAGUGCACAAAACACAAAAGUAACCAAGCAGAACCAAAAUGAAUCUAAAUAAAACUGAAACAAACUCAGUUUCCAAAAUGUCCAACAGUAUUUCCACAAACUCUUUUGCAUUUGGCGGCAUAAAAAACUACUGUAACUUAAAAAAUAUUCUACUGAUUUAUUUACAAAUGAUAAACACA